rnacentral:lncRNA from 1 species
GAUAAAAUGCUACAAUUGCCAAAAGUUUGGUCAUUAUGCCUCAGAUUGUCCUGAAUCAAAUCAAAGAGGAGAAGAAACAAAUCUGGUACAGGAAGACGAGGAACCAACUCUCCUAAUGGCAAUCAAAGAAGACUGCAAUGAUCUACUUCAACAAUAUUGUCACGAGGGCAAGUGGUCUUGGAUCAACUUUUGAUCAACCAACUUUAGUACGGAAACUUCUGAGUUCUGUACCAAAAAGGUUCGUUCAAAUUGUUGCAACCAUU